UACAGAGGUCUCAAGCGUUGUUCGGAUUCAUUGGGCGUAAAGGGUGCGUAGGCGGCGCGGUAAGUCCGGUGUGAAAGUCAUAGGCUCAACCUAUGGAUGCCGCUGGAAACUGCCUGACUUGAGUCCGGGAGGGGCGAGUGGAAUUCCUGGUGUAGCGGUGAAAUGCGCAGAUAUCAGGAGGAACACCUAUUGCGAAGGCAGCUCGCUGGGACGUUACUGACGCUGAGACGCGAAAGCGUGGGGAGCAAACAGG
rnacentral:rRNA from 1 species